AUGUAUCAGCUGUUUGUGCACAUAUUUGGUGAAACCGUCCAUCAGUUUCUGCCCCUUGGUUGUACAAGCAUGUUGGCUCUAAUUAGACACAAUGGUGGGGUUCCUUGUUUCUUCAGAGCUACUGACCGAGAAGAUGGGUUUCCUUAUAGUGGGGCAGCUAUUGAUGAAGCUAUGAGGUUGUGCUUAUUGACUGAUCUAGAGAUGAGUAGUCCCUAUAAUUCCUUUCGUGAUCAUGAACAGAUCCAAUGGAAAAUAGCAUGGCUCUGUUCAUCAGCUGUAGACGACAAACCGCAUGGCUUUGCAUCACCCAAGGCGAGGAAGCUGAAUUCGGUCCCUUCUGGUUCUGGACAUCUUCAGUGGGAAAUUGCAUGGUCGUUUGGUAUGGCCUACUCUGAUGUUUGUAACUUGGAGCGCUCUACAGCUAUCUGGUACUUGGUGAUUGAGAUAGGAGGUGGCACAAUCAACGCAACAAUUCAUUGUGCCUUGCUUGCCAUCAAUGGAUUCGAUGGAGAUUCAUAUUAUUUGUUCCUUGGGUCCCCCUGUUUUCGUUCGGUCAUGUUGAUUUCAAAGCAAUUCGAAUGGCAAAUCGUCUGGCCAUCAUCCUCUAUAGGAUCUGUUCAUGUUUCCAGGAUCGAGCUAGUACUCCAUUCUAUAUGCAUGGAUGUCGCAUAUAGCUUCAAAUGCACAUUCUAG
rnacentral:rRNA from 1 species